CCACUGUUUGCACGAUAUGAACCAAACGGGCUCGUUGCCAGAGGAUUUGAACGUCGUCUCCUUGCAGCCCUGCAAAAACAUGGCAAACAGUGACACCACCAGACGGAUUAGGAAUAAGCCAGUGGAAAUAAUACCGGGCCUCCAGAGCGGGAUCAAUACCACAGUCUGAGCCAUUUUAUGCAGAAGAGUUUUCUGCCACUGGAAGCCUUUGCCAGUGUCUCCAGAAUACACAAUCAGGUGAUUCGGGAUCCCAGCUUGGCUCCUCUCCUUUGUUGAAGCUCAUUAGUAAGUCACCUGCCUCACUCUGGCGCUCUGCGGUCCACCUUGAUGCUUUAUUCAUCACAGGGAGGAGGACAAGAGAAGGGUGCUGUCUGGACACAUUUACAUACAAAUGAAGCGAGGAUCCAUUUUUAAUGCACACGCACACACCUGACUGUCCUCUGCUGCCGUGAGGGUCAAUAAUUACAAACAUCAGUGACUUGGCACAGUAUCGCUGUUGAUUUACUGUGUGGAUGUGGUGCAGGAGUUGAUCAGAUUUUGCAUGGUUGAUCGUCCCGUCUUGUUUACACGAGACCCGUCUUGUGAGCUUACAGCAGGCUGGAGUUUUCUGCUUGGCUGCUUCGUCUCUGCGUCUUUGUUUUUGUGUUUAUUCAGAGUCAGAGGAGAAGCUGAGCCGCUUCACCUGCUCUGCAUAAUAACACCCGAGUCAAACCUUUGGGCUUAAUAACGCUCGGCUAAAGCAGCAGUGUCUGGGUACAGAGGAAAGAGGAAGUCGCUUUGCAGAGAUUGAACGAAACUGUGAGGACAGGUGUGAAAUACAAAGCUCUGGAUUUGCAGGGAAUUCUUUGUCCCUGAAGUUUUAUCUGGUUUUUAACAAGUCUAAAGACACUCGACUGAAAAGAAGGCUUUCUUAAGCAUUAUUUUGUAGAUGUUCUAUAUUUUCUAUUCAAUUUUAUGUAUAUAUCACAAAAACAAUCGCCUCAUUGGGCUUCAUGGCGGUAAUUUAACAUAAGCAGAAGGUCGGUCAUAAAAUAGAAACAAUACCUGAUUUCUAA